rnacentral:misc_RNA from 1 species
GUCUGAUAUCUCUGGUCUGAUAUAUUGCUGUUAUACAAAGAAGAUACUGGAUGUAAUGCUACAUUAAUGAAUCUUCACUCUGAGUGUAACAGUGCUGUUUGCACUGGUGUAUCAUGAUUUUAUGAAGAUGGCUGCCAGUCACAUGGAGGGAACCGGAAUUGCUUUUCUUGAGUUUUCUAAGGCUUACGAAGAUGAGUAUAUAGGCUGUUAUAAAGUUGGGAAAAGGACAAUUUCUGAAGAUUGCCAUUUCAGUGGUCAUUUUUGCGUGAAACAAAUUAUACAAGCAAUAGGCAUGAUAAUUUUGUGGAUGGUGUCACUGUGGUUGCCGCCAUGUUUUGUAGUUCGAUUUGCUCAAUUGAAGGUACAUAUGUAGUAACUAUCAUAAGAAUGUGACACUGAAAAGUAUUCAUUACAUUAGGAUCUUUCAAAGGAUGCUGUAUUAAUAAUGCCAAUUAAUUGUUCUGUACUCAUUUUGAUAACUGAGCUGUGUGUGGCAUGAUUACCUCUUACUUAUAAUGAACAGUAAUGUAUUGAUA